CCUACGGGCGGCAGCAGUGAGGAAUAUUGGUCAAUGGACUGACGUCUGAACCAGCCAUGCCGCGUGCGGGAAGACUGCCCUAUGAGUUGUAAACUGCUUUUGUCCAAGCGUAAACCUGACUACGUGUAUUCAGCUGAAAGUACUGUACAGAUAAGGCUCGGCUUACUCCGUUCCAGCAGCCGCGGGUAUACGGAGGAUCCAGUCGUUAUCCGGAUUGAUUGGGUUUAAAGGGUGCGUAGGCGGGAUGAUAAGUUAGAGGUGAAAUGUCCGAGCUUAACUCGGGAACUGUCUCUAAUACUGUAGAUCUAGAGAGUAGAUGAGGUAGGCGGAAUGUAUGGUGUAGCGGUGAAAUGCUUAGAGAUCAUACAGAACACCGAUUGCGAAGGCAGCUUACCAAUCUAUAUCUGACGUUGAGGCACGAAAGCGGGGGGAGCAAACAGGAUUAGAUACCCCAGUAGUC
rnacentral:rRNA from 1 species